GGUUAAGCGACUAAGCGUACACGGUGGAUGCCCUGGCAGUCAGAGGCGAUGAAGGACGUGCUAAUCUGCGAUAAGCGUCGGUGAGGUGAUAUGAACCGUUAUAACCGGCGAUUUCCGAAUGGGGAAACCCAGUGUGUUUCGACACACUAUCAUUAACUGAAUCCAUAGGUUAAUGAGGCGAACCGGGGGAACUGAAACAUCUAAGUACCCCGAGGAAAAGAAAUCAACCGAGAUUCCCCCAGUAGCGGCGAGCGAACGGGGAGGAGCCCAGAGCCUGAAUCAGUGUGUGUGUUAGUGGAAGCGUCUGGAAAGGCGCGCGAUACAGGGUGACAGCCCCGUACACAAAAAUGCACAUACUGUGAGCUCGAUGAGUAGGGCGGGACACGUGGUAUCCUGUCUGAAUAUGGGGGGACCAUCCUCCAAGGCUAAAUACUCCUGACUGACCGAUAGUGAACCAGUACCGUGAGGGAAAGGCGAAAAGAACCCCGGCGAGGGGAGUGAAAAAGAACCUGAAACCGUGUACGUACAAGCAGUGGGAGCCUCUUAAUGGGGUGACUGCGUACCUUUUGUAUAAUGGGUCAGCGACUUAUAUUCUGUAGCAAGGUUAACCGAAUAGGGGAGCCGAAGGGAAACCGAGUCUUAACUGGGCGUUAAGUUGCAGGGUAUAGACCCGAAACCCGGUGAUCUAGCCAUGGGCAGGUUGAAGGUUGGGUAACACUAACUGGAGGACCGAACCGACUAAUGUUGAAAAAUUAGCGGAUGACUUGUGGCUGGGGGUGAAAGGCCAAUCAAACCGGGAGAUAGCUGGUUCUCCCCGAAAGCUAUUUAGGUAGCGCCUCGUGAAUUCAUCUCCGGGGGUAGAGCACUGUUUCGGCAAGGGGGUCAUCCCGACUUACCAACCCGAUGCAAACUGCGAAUACCGGAGAAUGUUAUCACGGGAGACACACGGCGGGUGCUAACGUCCGUCGUGAAGAGGGAAACAACCCAGACCGCCAGCUAAGGUCCCAAAGUCAUGGUUAAGUGGGAAACGAUGUGGGAAGGCCCAGACAGCCAGGAUGUUGGCUUAGAAGCAGCCAUCAUUUAAAGAAAGCGUAAUAGCUCACUGGUCGAGUCGGCCUGCGCGGAAGAUGUAACGGGGCUAAACCAUGCACCGAAGCUGCGGCAGCGACACUAUGUGUUGUUGGGUAGGGGAGCGUUCUGUAAGCCUGUGAAGGUGGCCUGUGAGGGUUGCUGGAGGUAUCAGAAGUGCGAAUGCUGACAUAAGUAACGAUAAAGCGGGUGAAAAGCCCGCUCGCCGGAAGACCAAGGGUUCCUGUCCAACGUUAAUCGGGGCAGGGUGAGUCGACCCCUAAGGCGAGGCCGAAAGGCGUAGUCGAUGGGAAACAGGUUAAUAUUCCUGUACUUGGUGUUACUGCGAAGGGGGGACGGAGAAGGCUAUGUUGGCCGGGCGACGGUUGUCCCGGUUUAAGCGUGUAGGCUGGUUUUCCAGGCAAAUCCGGAAAAUCAAGGCUGAGGCGUGAUGACGAGGCACUACGGUGCUGAAGCAACAAAUGCCCUGCUUCCAGGAAAAGCCUCUAAGCAUCAGGUAACAUCAAAUCGUACCCCAAACCGACACAGGUGGUCAGGUAGAGAAUACCAAGGCGCUUGAGAGAACUCGGGUGAAGGAACUAGGCAAAAUGGUGCCGUAACUUCGGGAGAAGGCACGCUGAUAUGUAGGUGAAGCGACUUGCUCGUGGAGCUGAAAUCAGUCGAAGAUACCAGCUGGCUGCAACUGUUUAUUAAAAACACAGCACUGUGCAAACACGAAAGUGGACGUAUACGGUGUGACGCCUGCCCGGUGCCGGAAGGUUAAUUGAUGGGGUCAGCGCAAGCGAAGCUCUUGAUCGAAGCCCCGGUAAACGGCGGCCGUAACUAUAACGGUCCUAAGGUAGCGAAAUUCCUUGUCGGGUAAGUUCCGACCUGCACGAAUGGCGUAAUGAUGGCCAGGCUGUCUCCACCCGAGACUCAGUGAAAUUGAACUCGCUGUGAAGAUGCAGUGUACCCGCGGCAAGACGGAAAGACCCCGUGAACCUUUACUAUAGCUUGACACUGAACAUUGAGCCUUGAUGUGUAGGAUAGGUGGGAGGCUUUGAAGUGUGGACGCCAGUCUGCAUGGAGCCGGCCUUGAAAUACCACCCUUUAAUGUUUGAUGUUCUAACGUUGGCCCCUGAUCGGGGUUGCGGACAGUGUCUGGUGGGUAGUUUGACUGGGGCGGUCUCCUCCUAAAGAGUAACGGAGGAGCACGAAGGUUGGCUAAUCCUGGUCGGACAUCAGGAGGUUAGUGCAAUGGCAUAAGCCAGCUUGACUGCGAGCGUGACGGCGCGAGCAGGUGCGAAAGCAGGUCAUAGUGAUCCGGUGGUUCUGAAUGGAAGGGCCAUCGCUCAACGGAUAAAAGGUACUCCGGGGAUAACAGGCUGAUACCGCCCAAGAGUUCAUAUCGACGGCGGUGUUUGGCACCUCGAUGUCGGCUCAUCACAUCCUGGGGCUGAAGUAGGUCCCAAGGGUAUGGCUGUUCGCCAUUUAAAGUGGUACGCGAGCUGGGUUUAGAACGUCGUGAGACAGUUCGGUCCCUAUCUGCCGUGGGCGCUGGAGAACUGAGGGGGGCUGCUCCUAGUACGAGAGGACCGGAGUGGACGCAUCACUGGUGUUCGGGUUGUCAUGCCAAUGGCACUGCCCGGUAGCUAAAUGCGGAAGAGAUAAGUGCUGAAAGCAUCUAAGCACGAAACUUGCCCCGAGAUGAGUUCUCCCUGACUCCUUGAGGGUCCUGAAGGAACGUUGAAGACGACGACGUUGAUAGGCCGGGUGUGUAAGCGCAGCGAUGCGUUGAGCUAACCGGUACUAAUGAACCGUGAGGCUUAACCUU
rnacentral:rRNA from 1 species